GCUGGCGGCAGGCCUAACACAUGCAAGUCGAACGGUAACAGGAAGMAGCUUGCUKCUUUGCUGACGAGUGGCGGACGGGUGAGUAAUGUCUGGGAAACUGCCUGAUGGAGGGGGAUAACUACUGGAAACGGUAGCUAAUACCGCAUAACGUCGCAAGACCAAAGAGGGGGACCUUCGGGCCUCUUGCCAUCGGAUGUGCCCAGAUGGGAUUAGCUWGUWGGUGGGGUAACGGCUCACCUAGGCGACGAUCCCUAGCUGGUCUGAGAGGAUGACCAGCCACACUGGAACUGAGACACGGUCCAGACUCCUACGGGAGGCAGCAGUGGGGAAUAUUGCACAAUGGGCGCAAGCCUGAUGCAGCCAUGCCGCGUGUAUGAAGAAGGCCUUCGGGUUGUAAAGUACUUUCAGCGGGGAGGAAGGGAGUAAAGUUAAUACCUUUGCUCAUUGACGUUACCCGCAGAAGAAGCACCGG
rnacentral:rRNA from 1 species